UGAACAUCAAAGGACAAAACUAUAGUUUUGUCCUUUGAUGUUCACAGUAUUUCUAAUACAACAUUUACAGAUUAAAUCAUGAGAAGAAGUGGUUGUUUUUUAUUUAAAAACAGAUUGUAUCACGAGAAAAAGUAGUAAAAGUGAAGAAAUCCUUUUAAUUGAAAAUUUAGAGAUUGUAUCACGAGAAGAAGUGGUUGUAGUUCAUUUAGAAACAGAUUGUAUCACGAGAAGAAGUGGAAAAAAAUUUCUGUAUUUUAAGAUAAAGGUUGAAAUAUAAAAAUGAAGAUGGAAGCAAAGUUUAAAAAAUUUGCUGUAGUUGAAUUUCUUAAUGAAAAAAAAAAAAAGCAUGUGUGCCAUGGACGUUAUCUGUUUGUCAUGGCUGAUCAAUGAAAGUUUAGUGUGUUGGCCAAAUCACUUGCGAUCAUUUCGCCUUUUAACUGCCAUACGCGAAGUAACACUUACUCCUGUAAGUAACUGGAAACAGCUAAAAAUAAGAGUUCUUUAUUAUUUUGUUAUGAAACUGCUGUAGAACAAAUGGAAAUGUUAGAGUUCACAUCAAGCGUUGAAACAGUUGCUGAUAGCGAUGAGAAAUUGUCCAUGCCACCAGCUAAAAAGUUAGCAGUUUGUAAUACAAUUGACACUGAGGAGACAUAUCCAUCAGUUUUCCCAAGAUUGAAGAAAUCUUUUAAUUGCCAAAAUAUUUUACAACCCACAACUGUUCGAUAUAUUGAGUCAUUUAGUUUGAAUCGUUCUCUACUGAUAUUUUCCUCUUCUGAUCAGAGCUUGGCAGCUGUUGUGGCUGCUUUAGGCACCCGAUUUCCUGGUAAAGGAUUACCUUGAUGGGUUAUUUGUUUGAAGGUUUAAUUAAAUGUACUCUUUAAUAUAUUUUUGAAUAUGAACUUCCUUGCAUCGGUUGGAGGCGACGAUUACAAGCAACUUACCACGGCUAUCUUAAAACAACUAAUGGCUAAAAAAGUAUGCUUGUUAUACUCUAUGUAUGGCAGGAAACAAAAGAAAUCAUUUUCGCCUCUUACAAGCUGCCAUAACAAAAAUUUGAAAACGCUAAUGACAAAAGCAUUAAAGAAAGAAUCGGCAGCUUUCUGGCAACGGCCAUUGAUAGAGAAGACGGAAGAAAGAAUAGAACCGCAAUUGAGCAAAGCCCACUAUUGAGCGAUGAAAAUGAAUGUCGCCAAGAUAAUGAAAAUCAAUGCCCACUAUCUGAUAGUGAGAGUGUAACGCUGUAAUAUAUAUAUAUAUAUAUAUAUAUAUAUAUAUAUAUAUAUAUAUAUAUAUAUAUAUAUAUAUAUAUUCAUUUGUAUCAGUUUAAUAUAACUUCUGAUAAAUUUAUUAUUAGAUUUUAAAAA